GAUGAACGCUAGCGGCAGGCCUAAUACAUGCAAGUCGAACGGUAACAGGGAUAGCAAUAUCCGCUGACGAGUGGCGCACGGGUGCGUAACACGUAUGCAACCUACCUAUAACCGGGAAAUAGCUCGGAGAAAUUCGAAUUAAUGUCCCAUAAUAUCAUGAGAUGGCAUCGUUUUAUGAUUAAAGAUUUAUCGGUUAUGGAUGGGCAUGCGUUUGAUUAGCUAGUUGGUGAGGUAAUGGCUCACCAAGGCUACGAUCAAUAGGGGUUCUGAGAGGAUGAUCCCCCACACUGGUACUGAGAUACGGACCAGACUCCUACGGGAGGCAGCAGUAGGGAAUAUUGGGCAAUGGAGGCAACUCUGACCCAGCCAUGCCGCGUGAAGGAAGAAGGCCUUCUGGGUUGUAAACUUCUUUUAUAUGGGAAGAAAGGACUCUUGCGAGAGGCGUUGACGGUACCAUAUGAAUAAGCACCGGCUAACUCCGUGCCAGCCGCCGCGGUAACAC
rnacentral:rRNA from 1 species